AACUGCUGAAGUAAUUUGAAUAUAUGCCUUCCUUCCAUGCUGAAAUCGGGUUAUUUGUAAGUCAGUUUGAGUUCCGAAUCGUUCGUGCUGCAUCGGAAGAUCAUUUAGUCCAUGAGCUUGGGAAGAGGUGGACUGCAGGAGCAACUAGCUUCCUAUAUUGGACUCCCGGCCUGAUGAAAAAAAG